AGCGCAGGAUUAAUAACGUAAGUGACAUAAUAAAAUAAUAUAGAACCUUUAAACAAGGGUACCUUUUGUAUAAGCGUUGUGUUAGAAUAUGUAAAUAUAUCUUUGUUCCCCGAUAAUGAGGAAUUUAACUUUUGAGGAAGUUAUUGUUGCAAAAAUAACAGAGACAAGAGGUUAAAGGCUAUAUACUAUAUUGCCCUCGUUGGUAUCUGGUUUCCCUUAAAAUACAUUUAGUGUAGCCUUGAAUCAAAGUGUGAGAAUUUAUAAGAUAAGUUAUGAGUUCAGUAAGUUGAUUAAUAAUGUUUUCAGGCAGAGUGAGUGGGUUUAAUACUAAUUCGCCUAAUAGAUUGUUACAAACAACCCUGCAAAUUAAGACAAUUAGUUCUUUAAUCACAAGUUAAAGGGGCAUGUUCAAAUAGUCCAUUAACUAUGCAUAAAUCAGUAGAGCAGUAGUUAUCACUAUUUUAUUAAGUAUAAAAAAUAAAAGUACAGGUUUAUGUGUUUAUUAACUUUUUUUAAUGAUCUCGGCAAAUAAAAUCUCAAAUGUUUAACAAAAACAUUUCUUCUUUUCUUUAAUCACAAGUUAAAGGGGCAUGUUCAAAUAGUCCAUUAACUAUGCAUAAAUCAGUAGAGCAGUAGUUAUCACUAUUUUAUUAAGUAUAAAAAAUAAAAGUACAGGUUUAUGUGUUUAUUAACUUUUUUUAAUGAUCUCGGCAAAUAAAAUCUCAAAUGUUUAACAAAAACAUUUCUUCUUGUAGUUAGUAAGAAGUAUCCCCUGCCCGGUGCUAUGCGUAGUUAACGGCUGCAUUAAUGUGAGUGUACUAAGGUAGCGUAGUAAUUUGCCCCUUAAUUGGUGGCUGGUAUGAAAGGGGGUUUGGGGUUUUUCUGUGUCAAAAAAAUUUUUUGAAAUUUACUUGCCCGUGAAGAGGCGUGCAUGUAGUAAUAGGACGACAAGACCCUAGAAGCUUUACUUUAUGGGUAUUUAUUGUGAAAUUUCCUUAAGUUUUGUUGGGGCAACAGAGAUUUCUUUAUGUCAAAUUACAUUCUUGUUUUAUCCAAAUUGUUGAAAAAGAUUAGCUACUCUAGGGAUAACAGCGUUAUUUUUCUUUAUAGCUCUUAUAGAAAGAAAAGAUUGCGACCUCGAUGUUGGAUUAAGGUAUCCUGAAGAUGCAGAAGUCUUCGAGGGUUGGUCUGUUCGCCCAUUAAAACCCUUACAUGAUCUGAGUUCAGACCGGCGUGAGCUAGGUCAGUUUCUAUCCAUUUCUUAUAUUUGGUUAUUUUAGUACGAGAGGAAUUAAUAAUCUAUUAAUAAUAAUAAUUA
rnacentral:rRNA from 1 species